GAAAGCGGCAUUGCUGACCAGUGAGAGAGACCUAAUGAGGAGCAGGCCGGGGCAACCAAUGAAAUCGGAGAAGAGCGCUUGGGGGCGUGUCCGCCUGCUUUCAGCCUUUGCUAAAAUCAGUCAUCUUCCUGCGAAGGCAUGAGGAGGAAAAGAGAGGAAGUAACUGAGGUGGGUACAUAAGGCAUGGAGAGUGAAGACCCCAAAGGGCUGUAAGACCUCAUAAGGAGUCCAAGUUUUAUUCUCAUUGCAACAGGAAGCAAUCAAAGGGAUUAGAGCAAGUGACCCCAGUUCAUUCAUUCUUU
rnacentral:lncRNA from 1 species